GCGCCCGUAGCUCAAUUGGUCAGAGCUGGCCGCUCAUAACGGCCUGGUUGCAGGUUCGAGUCCUGCCGGGCGCACCA
rnacentral:tRNA from 1 species